UGGCCGGGUGUCCAGACAGGAGCCCGGCUGGAGCGCCCGCCCCGCGGCCUCGCCACCCCGCCGAGCCGCCAGCGCCUCGGGACGCGAUGAGGACCUGGGCUUGUUUGCUGCUCCUCGGCUGCGGAUACCUCGCCAGUGCCCUGGCCGAGGAAGCCGAGAUCCCCCGCGAGGUCAUUGAGAGGCUGGCGCACAGUCAGAUACACAGCAUCCGGGACCUCCAGCGACUCCUGGAGAUAGACUCCGUAGGGGCCGAGGAGCCUCUGGAGACCAGCCUGAGAGCCCACGGGGGCCAUGGCGCCAAGCAUGCGCUGGAGAAGCGGCCUGUGCCCAUUCGGAGGAAAAGAAGCAUCGAGGAAGCCAUCCCUGCAGUCUGCAAGACCAGGACGGUCAUUUAUGAGAUACCUCGGAGCCAGGUGGACCCCACGUCUGCCAACUUUCUGAUCUGGCCCCCGUGUGUGGAGGUGAAGCGCUGUACCGGCUGCUGCAACACCAGCAGUGUCAAGUGCCAACCGUCCCGCGUCCACCACCGGAGUGUCAAGGUGGCCAAGGUGGAGUACGUCAGGAAGAAGCCAAAGUUAAAAGAGGUGCAGGUGCGGCUGGAGGAGCACCUGGAAUGCACGUGCGCGAGCGCCAGCCCGAGCCCCGGCCACCGGGAAGAGGAGGCGGACUUGGCCCAGAGCAGCCCGGCGUGGUGACCGCCGUGUUGGGCCAGCUUGAGGGGACCAGGAAGUGUCUCCAUGCCAGCGCCAUCGAGUUGUUUUACAGAAAGACAAACACCCCAGCUACUUACGGCUGCAGUUUCCACCCCACAGCCCUCCCUUAGGCCCUCUCACCCUCCCUGCCCUUCUGUCAACAGGAAGGCGCAGGGAGUCAGGUAAAAAACGGAAAAGAAAAAGGUUAAAACCCACCUAACGCGGUCCACCAGGUAGGAGCCGGCCGCCGGCCAUGCCGCAGUCCUGGGGUGGGAGGCGCAGCGACUGAUCACUCGGCGAAUCACCCCGAAGGCGAGGACGCGCCCUGAUUGGCCUUGAUCCGUCCGCGAGCUUCUGCUGUCUGGCUGGGCUGCGGGUCUCCGCAUUCCCAUCCCCAACCCCUCCCCUCCCGCUGCUCGGGGCACCUGGCCCAUGGCUCCCUCCUGCUCCGGGGCCCCUGCUCUGGCUUUGGUCCUUGUUGAUUGGGGAGGCAAAGGCAUCACACAAGCGGAGUGAUCUGGGUUCCCUGAGCAGCAGUGGGGUAGCUCUGACGUUUACUCGCUGGGAUCACCUCGGACAGGUUACCCACCUCCUUUGACAGAUGAAAAAACUGAGGCUUAGAGGGAUUACAGAUGAAGAUUGUUGAAGGCUGAGUAGAUCCUGUCUGAAAAUGCUUUGUAAACGUACAGGGCUGUUGGCUACUGUGUUGGCAGUUGUGUUUGGCUGCUAAUAACAUGCCAGAAACAAGGGUUGAGAUAAGGUAGGGAGACCAGAGCAUGUAUGGCAGUCUCAGGGACCCACUUCUUUCCAGGACUAGUGGUGUCCAUCCUCAGAGUUGCCUCAUGGCCCGAGAUGGCUGCCAAAGCUCCAGAAAUCACGUUACACUCCAGGCCUGGAAGAAAGAUUAUGGUGGGGACUGGGGACAAUGGUGAAAGGACCCAGUGACUUUUGCUUUGAUCUCAUUGGCCACCCCUCUGCUGUAAGGGGGCCUGGGAAAGGUGGUCUUUCAGAGGGGCUUCCCAGGAGAAAGUGGCUGUGGGCAACCACGGAGGAGGCAGUUUUAAGCCUUCCUGGUCCUUCGUGUUGGCCUGUCUGGCUCUGCAGAGCCUGGUCCUUGCUUCUGGGCAUGUGGGAGCCCAUGGCAUCCAAAACAAAUAGUUGUGAGAGGAAUUCUUGGAGACAGGUGCCCGGGAGCCCAGGCUCCAGCUGAGUGAUGUGUGACUGCAGAACGCUGCCAGGUCAGGAGUUUCUGAGGCCCGUAGGUCACGUCCGUUCAGGAGGAUCCUCUGGGGAGGAAAGGUCCACGUGGACAGAUCUUGAAGCAGCCCCAAAACGACUGCUCAGCCUUGGCUUUUGGGUCCCCAGGGUGUGGUGCAGGGGCUGGUUUUAUACCUGCCUGUGCUGCCAAGUUUAUGACCACUGGGCUUAGCCUCCAUGGGCUAGCUGAUGAUUGAUACCCCAAAGGGAGGGGCAGGCGUCCCUGCCUCCCUGCUAGCGUUCAGGCUGUGGGCAUGUGGUGGGAUGAGCAACAGACAGGCGACGUAGGGUGGGGAAGAGCUGCUCUUAGCUCAGCUCAGUGUAGCUCUGCCUGGUCACAGAGACCCCUCUGUCUUGCUGGUGGCAUCCAUCCUCAGGGUUGCCUCAUGGCCCAAGAUGGCUGCAGGAUCUCCAGAAAUCACAUCAAGCUGUAGGCUGGAAGAAAGAAGAAGAUGUGAGGUGAGGAUCAGCCAGCAGCCCUUUUCCGGGACACGGAUGUACAUGGCGUGUUACAUUCCUGAACCUACUAUGUACGGUGCUUAUUGCCAGCGUGGUCUUUGUUCUCCUCCGUGAAAACUGUCUCCAUGCACACUCUGGAGAACAAAGAGACAGUAUACGUUGUUUAUGUGACAUCAAAGCAAGUAUUGUAGCACUCGGUGAAACAAUAAGAAGCUUCCUUGUCAAAAAAAAGAGAGCAAACAAAACCACGAAACAUGACAAACAAAACUCACUCACAAAAAUAUCUAAACAUUUGCCGGAAUGGAGGGACGCCCCGAGGGAUGGAAGUGACAGACGUCUCGGCAGACUGGAUCUCUUUCCAGGGUGGUCACAGGUGCUUUGGCCAAGGACAACAGAGCCUGCUUUCUGAAGGCUGCGAUCGGAUGCCGCCGGCCUCUGCAGGGGCACGCAGGAGCCAGGAAUGUCUCGGAAACCACAUCUCCUUGCUGUAGUGUUUAAGUCUAUACAGAAACCUUCCUGAGAGCCUUAAGUGGAUUUUUUUUUACACCAUAAAGUGAUUAUUAAGCUUUCCUUUCUACUCUUUGCCUAGCUUUUUUUUUUUUUUUAAUUAUCUCUUGGAUGACAUUUACACCGAUAACACCAGGCUGCAGUAACAGUCAGGACGGUGGGACGGUACCUUUCCUAGCAGGAUGCAAACAAAUGAGAUGUAUUAAAAUAAACAUGGUAUACCCACCUAUGCAUCAUUUCCUAAAUG